AGCGAACGCUGGCGGCAGGCCUAACACAUGCAAGUCGAACGAAGUCUUCGGACUUAGUGGCGGACGGGUGAGUAACACGUGGGAACGUGCCUUUAGGUUCGGAAUAACUCGGGGAAACUUGUGCUAAUACCGAAUGUGCCCUUCGGGGGAAAGAUUUAUCGCCUUUAGAGCGGCCCGCGUCUGAUUAGCUAGUUGGGGAGGUAAAGGCUCACCAAGGCGACGAUCAGGAGCUGGUCUGAGAGGAUGAUCAGCCACAUUGGGACUGAGACACGGCCCAAACUCCUACGGGAGGCAGCAGUGGGGAAUCUCGCGCAAUGGGCGAAAGCCUGACGCAGCCAUGCCGCGUGAAUGAUGAAGGUCUUAGGAUUGUAAAAUCCUUUCACCGGGGACGAUAAUGACGGUACCCGGAGAAGAAGCCCCGGCUAACUUCGUGCCAGCCGCCGCCGUAA
rnacentral:rRNA from 1 species